rnacentral:tRNA from 1 species
GAGGGUGUAGCUCAGUGGUCGAGCUGUGCUUAACAUGCGUGAGGUCCUGGGUUCAAUCCCUAGUACCUCCA